rnacentral:rRNA from 1 species
AGAGUUUGAUCAUGGCUCAGGACGAACGCUGGCGGCGUGCUUAACACAUGCAAGUCGAACGGAAAGGCCCUUCGGGGUGCUCGAGUGGCGAACGGGUGAGUAACACGUGGGUGAUCUGCCCUGCACUUUGGGAUAAGCCUGGGAAACUGGGUCUAAUACCGAAUAGGACUCCGGACCGCAUGGUCUGGGGUGGAAAGCUUUUGCGGUGUGGGAUGGGCCCGCGGCCUAUCAGCUUGUUGGUGAGGUGAUGGCCUACCAAGGCGACGACGGGUAGCCGGCCUGAGAGGGUGACCGGCCACACUGGGACUGAGAUACGGCCCAGACUCCUACGGGAGGCAGCAGUGGGGAAUAUUGCACAAUGGGCGCAAGCCUGAUGCAGCGACGCCGCGUGAGGGAUGACGGCCUUCGGGUUGUAAAGCCCUUUUGUUGGGAAAGAAAUCCAGCUGGCUAAUACCCGGUUGGGAUGACGGUACCCAAAGAAUAAGCACCGGCUAACUUCGUGCCAGCAGCCGCGGUAAUACGAAGGGUGCAAGCGUUACUCGGAAUUACUGGGCGUAAAGCGUGCGUAGGUGGUCGUUUAAGUCCGUUGUGAAAGCCCUGGGCUCAACCUGGGAACUGCAGUGGAUACUGGGCGACUAGAGUGUGGUAGAGGGUAGCGGAAUUCCUGGUGUAGCAGUGAAAUGCGUAGAGAUCAGGAGGAACAUCCAUGGCGAAGGCAGCUACCUGGACCAACACUGACACUGAGGCACGAAAGCGUGGGGAGCAAACAGGAUUAGAUACCCCGGUAGUCCAA